rnacentral:lncRNA from 1 species
CAAGAAAGGAAAAGGCAAGGAGAGAGAAAUAAUAAUAAUAGAAACGUAACAUACGAAAACGUUAAUCGACGAAAGUUCUCAGCAUGCAUGGAGGAUUUAAGAUAGAGAUGUGUGAGACCUCACUUUUCUCGGCACCAAGUGAACAUGAAGGCGAUGCCUACUCCCCUCCCUCGCUGUAUAACAACCUCUGACAACUUAAGCUCGAACAUACUUGAGAAAAAUAUCAAGAAAGUUGCAUGUUGGACACCGGACAGUUGCCAGAGAGAGCCUUUAAAGUAUGACAAUUUGCUUUUUGAUGAUCUUCCCACGUAUUUGACAACGUGUCAUGCAAGGUGGCCACACCAUGCAAGCUUCUGUCAUUUGAUGAUAAAGUGAUGAGGUUACUGAAGACCCAUCAGGAGGGCGACUGUGUUAUAUACGACUUGUUCAUCUUCUGUUCUUUCUGACAAAUGUGAAGGAAUCUCUUAAAUUUCGAUCACCUGGAUCCUUCGCUUUGACAUGGGGCUGUUCCGAGCGCCUCUCCUCCCUGCCUGUGUCAAAACCCGGAUUCGGGCCGUGUCACCAAAGACCGAUAUCUUCCUCUGAUAACACAGUUUCUGGAAGACAUACAUCUGCUGAACUCUGCUCAUCACAUCCCUACCCUACUACGCGAAAACCCUGUCAACAAUGUCUUAUCCGUUUUCUUCUUCAGAAGAGAAAACACUUUCUAGGCAUCCUCCGUGUGUUGAGAACAGGUCCCUACCGCCGACCGUCGAAGAUAAUUUGCUGUCAUCGAUAUCUGGUCAGCCCACAAUAGUCCAGGAGAGUAUGCUGCCAACUUUUGAUGAAGGGAAUCUGUCAAGUACACGUCGCCAGCCUCUAAAUACCGACGAGGGUUGUCUUCUUUGCAGCCGACACCUCUUGCCGAUAUGUUUAUGUCAGUCUUUUCUAGCCAUGACUGGCAGCUGCAAUCAGUGUUCAGCCGACCGUCGUCAACUGAGGAUGUGUCAUUGACACCAUUGUUUGAAAACCUCUUGUGUGUUAACUUAAAUCCAGAAAAUCCCAUGCUAGAUCGACCAGCGUCUGCUGAGGAUGAAUCAUUGAAGCCCAUGUUUAAGAAACCGUUUUAUGUUAAUUUGAAUCCGAAAACACCCGAGCUACAUCAACCAACGCCUGUUGAGGAUGGAUCACUAAACCCCAAGUUUUGUCUACCACACUCUGAUGAGUGGAGCUCACUCUCAUCCUCGUCGGAACAGCAGUCGUCUGCUGAAGUAAGUCUACUUCCAAACGUGUCUGCUCAACUGCCAUCUGCUUUACAACAGCACAGGUUGAAAACUUCUGGCUCCAGUGGGUUGAGGCCGCGUUCCCUGAUCUCGACUCACGCGCCUACUUCCUGCCUCCUGUCUACUUCAACCGCGUGCCAUGACUAGACAGUCAGCUGCUGCUCAGGAUGUUCUGAUCUUUCAACCAUCAUCUGCGCAGGGUGGUACUUUAAUGCGACUUUUAGGGAAAUUGGGAUCUUCGAAAACAUUACCACACAGACGGAAGGCGAAAACCAACAAAGUGCAAGUUUAACCCUGCCAGCAAAGAUUCAGUCUCAUGCCCCUCAGCCACCUUUUGUUCAGAAUAGUGACAUGAGAGAUGAUGCAGCUAUGCAGCGGGUUUUGUUCUGCCUAAAACAUUUGUUUAAUCAUACUAAGGAAGUCGUAGUUGUAAUAAGUCAGCUUCAGUUCGGACAGUACCUAGGUGAAACUUGUUACGCUGCCGCUGUUGCCCAGCUCCCAAUCCCUGCGAAUCUACCUCCUGGCCUCCCACAUAACUGGAAGCAGGGAGACUUUGAUGUGCUUCUUGUUCACGCAUAUUAUGGUUUACUCGUCUGUGAGGUCAAGUCCUUCGGUGACAACACCAGCGAGUUGCAUAUGACACAAGAACAAAUAGCCAGCAUCACGAGAAGAAAGCUGAGAGACGCCGUGUCACAACUGGACAAGGCGGAGGCCAUGUUGUCUCACCUGGUGUCCGACAUCGCCCCCGGUCUGCGCAUCACUAAGACCAUCGCUUUCCCAACCUCACGGCUCAUCAACUUCAACACGCCAUCUCUGCCGAUAUAAAUCUGACUCGGGACCUGUAUCGGUGUCUGGAAACAACAAAUUUCACCGACAUCGCUAGUCUUUGUCUCUGCUCUGAUCAGUUGUCGGACCCCAAAACUCCAUGGGAAAUUAGUGAGAAGCUACUAGAGAAGCUCAAAAAGUGGUGGCAUCGACGUGUUGUGAGGGUUGGUGUAGACAGUACCAUGACGAGGGACGUGUACAAGACUUUGGUAGCGAGGUUCUGCGGUCCGGCGACAUCAGUGACUGUGCCAUGCACAUGUCCUCCACGUGUGAGUGUCA